rnacentral:lncRNA from 1 species
GAUACUGGAUAAUGGGGUGGGGAAAUCGAUGAUUUAAGAACAAAACCGAAAAACUGGCGUUUUGCCGUGCCGCUCGGAGGGGACAUUAAAAAAUUUCUUAGUGUUUGCCCGCAAAGGUAUUGUGCGUUGCCUUGGAGGCUGAGAUAUGGGGGAAUAGACAAGUCCUUUGUUCUGAGGUUCAUCUUCCGAGCCCCGAGCCUCCUCCCAGCCUCGGACGGCUGCGCGGGCUGCAUCUGUGCAGCCUGGCGGCGGCGGGGCUGUGCUAUGACAUCUUUACAGUCCUUCUUGCAGAGACAUGUGUGCCAGGGAUGCCGAAUUGCCGGGAGAGCAGGCAAGACCGGCUUCGGGGCGCGCGGCGGCCGCUUUGUGUGCGGGGCUGCAUUGUGACGCGGGCGAUGAAGCCGGUAGGGCGGUGGUCGGAAGCUCCAGCCGCGGCCGCCGCCUUUGUGAGAGGACUAGAAAGCCGGAUCCGGCCCGCAUCCUUGCGGAGAGGCCGCGGCUAGGAAAUGGAAACGCUUUUCCUACCUGGGCUCCAUUUUAGGAAUUCUUGCCGAUUUUUCCCACUUGAAUUUGGAAGUGGCUUUCCUCUUCUUUCCUUGUCCUAGCCAGCCUUUAAUUUUAAACGCUGUAAUUAACAAUUCGCAGUGGUCAAUUUCCUUUAUUCUGCAAGAUUCGGCUUUGAGAGGCAUCCGCCCUCUUUG